rnacentral:rRNA from 1 species
UACAGAGGUCUCAAGCGUUGUUCGGAUUCAUUGGGCGUAAAGGGGUGCGUAGGCGGCGUGGUAAGUCGGAUGUGAAAUCUCGGAGCUUAACUCCGAAACUGCAUUCGAUACUGCCGUGCUUGAGGACUGGAGAGGAGACUGGAAUUUACGGUGUAGCGGUGAAAUGCGUAGAUAUCGUAAGGAAGACCAGUGGCGGAAGGCGGGUCUCUGGACAGUUCCUGACGCUGAGGCACGAAGGCCAGGGGAGCAAACGGG